rnacentral:tRNA from 1 species
AAACGAUGAUUACUCACGAUGAGUGUCCACACAGAUUGAUACGGUUUAUAAAGUAAAGAGAAGAAGAGUUCCCAAACUCUUCAAUCCAGUGUCCCGUUCGUCUAGAGGCCUAGGACACCGCCCUUUCACGGCGGUAACAGGGGUUCGACUCCCCUACGGGAUACCAUUGGGUCGUUAGCUCAGUUGGUAGAGCAGUUGACUUUUAAUCAAUUGGUCGCAGGUUCGAAUCCUGCACGACCCACCAUUCUUCUCCACGAAGAAUUAAAACUUAUGUGGGCGAUUAGCUCAGUUGGGAGAGCACCUGCCUUACAAGCAGGGGGUCACUGGUUCGAGCCCGGUAUCGCCCACCAUUCUCUAAGUAUUUUUGGAUAGGAAUUCCAAACCACUUCAGUGAGACGUAUGUGGUUAGAAUCUUCGACUCUGAAAGUAUUUAGAAAAUGUACUUCCUUGUGAAGAAACAUAGCUCUUUAACAAUUUGGAAAGCUGACAAAACAACAAUUUAUUGUUGUUUGUAAAGUUCUCAAUGUUUGUCUUUAAGACAAACACCAAAAUAACACAUUCAAGUGUUCUUGGAAUUUGAGUCCGGCAAAAUCGAGUCUGCAUCAUGUAUAAAAAUUGCAGACAACUUUGGUGACUUGUUCAUCAACUCGAAACUCCUUCGGGUUGUAU